CACGUAGGCACCAAGCGUUGUCCGGAUUUAUUGGGCGUAAAGAGCUCGUAGGCGGUUCAGUAAGUCGGGUGUGAAAACUUUGGGCUUAACCCAAAGCGUGCAUCUGAUACUGCUGUGACUUGAGUUCGGUAGGGGGAGUGGGGAAUUCCUAGUGUAGCGGUGAAAUGCGCAGAUAUUAGGAGGAACACCUAUUGCGAAGGCAGCUCGCUGGGACGUUACUGACGCUGAGACGCGAAAGCGUGGGGAGCAAACAGG
rnacentral:rRNA from 1 species